rnacentral:piRNA from 1 species
UAGCACAGAGUCUGCUAUUUUGAAAAAU